rnacentral:rRNA from 1 species
UGGGGAAUUUUGGACAAUGGGGGCAACCCUGAUCCAGCAAUGCCGCGUGUGUGAAGAAGGCCUUCGGGUUGUAAAGCACUUUUGUCCGGGGAAGAAAUCCCCUGCCCUAAUACGGCGGGGGGAUGACGGUACCGGAAGAAUAAGCACCGGCUAACUACGUGCCAGCAGCCGCGGUAAUACGUAGGGUGCGAGCGUUAAUCGGAAUUACUGGGCGUAAAGCGUGCGCAGGCGGUGAUGUAAGACCGAUGUGAAAUCCCCGGGGCUCAACCUGGGGAACUGCAUUGGUGACUGCAUUGCUCGAGUAUGGCAGAGGGGGGUGGAAUUCCACGUGUAGCAGUGAAAUGCGUAGAGAUGUGGAGGAACACCGAUGGCGAAGGCAGCCCCCUGGGCCAAUACUGACGCUCAUGCACGAAAGCGUGGGGAGCAAACAGGAUUAGAUACCCUGGUAGUCCACGCCCUAAACGAUGUCAACUGGUUGUCGGGCCUUCAUUGGCUUGGUAACGUAGCUAACGCGUGAAGUUGACCGCCU